GGGGGAUUAGCUCAGUUGGCUAGAGCGCCUGGUUUGCAACCAGGAGGUCACCGGUUCGAAUCCGGUAUUCUCCA
rnacentral:tRNA from 1 species